UACGUAGGUGGCAAGCGUUGUCCGGAUUUACUGGGCGUAAAGGAUGCGUAGGCGGACAUUUAAGUCAGAUGUGAAAUACCCGAGCUUAACUUGGGUGCUACAUUUGAAACUGGGUGUCUAGAGUGCAGGAGAGGUAAGUGGAAUUCCUAGUGUAGCGGUGAAAUGCGUAGAGAUUAGGAAGAACACCAGUGGCGAAGGCGACUUACUGGACUGUAACUGACGCUGAGGCAUGAAAGCGUGGGGAGCAAACAGG
rnacentral:rRNA from 1 species